rnacentral:sRNA from 1 species
GGCAGAGGCUUGCGCUCAGGCUUUCGAUACGGCGGACGGUACCCCGGCGUCAUCACGUGCCCUGCGGGCAUGGAAUCGUUACGGAUUCGCGCACUGAGCGGUCCACACGGCGCAAGCA